AUUGAGCGCAAGGAUUUUGUCCUUCCUAUGCCUAAAGCGCAGCUCCGAUCAUCGACGACGCUGGUCCGAUUCAAAGCGGUCGCCAUUUCCGGUGAAAGAAGCAAACUAAUCACCCUACUUCUACGACUCUACUUACACAGUUAUCUUCCAACAGGCUUGUCUCUGCUACGAGAGUCAAGAUCCAUGAUGGCAUUAGAACCAUAGCAUAAGGAUGUUGUUUGAAGUACUGCAGAAGUCCAGGCAUUGGGAUCCUAGGCUUUCUUCUCCUUAUUGCCUCAAAUGCUUCCCAAGGAACUUUUCUCUAUGGUCAAUGAAGAAAGACCCAGACCUUGAAUCAGCUCUAUCUCGUAAUCGUCGAUGGAUUGUCAAUAAUCAAAUCAAGAAUAUCGUCCUUCGUUGCCCCAAUCAGACGGCACCUGUAAAAUUUCUCCAAAAGAAGUUUAAAACCCUCGACUGUCAAGGAAAGGCCCUUAACUGGCUGAAAAAGUACCCCAUCUGCUUUGAAGUUUAUCUCCACAAUGAUGAGUACUAUUUUCGGCUGACAAAGAGGAUGAUGGCUUUAGUUGAAGAGGAAGAAACUGUCAAAGACAUGCAGGAGCCUGCUUUUGUCGAGCGGUUGGCAAAGUUGCUGAUGAUGGCUUCGAAUCAGAGACUAAAUGUUUUAAAACUUGGUGAAUUAAGGCGGAAUUUUGGGCUCCCAGAUGAUUACUUGAUAAGAAUCGUUCCCAAACAUUCUGAUAUGUUUCGAAUUGUAAAUUAUACUGGAAAAAGAAACUCAAUGGAAAUAGAACUGGUCUCUUGGAAACCAGAACUAGCAAUUUCCAGCAUAGAAUCUUCAGCCUGCAAGCAUGGGGUUGAGCCAACUUUCUCCUGCUCACUGCCAACGACUUGGGUACAUUCGUGGGAAAAGUUUCAUGAAUUUAAUGCCUCUCCAUAUAUUUCACCAUAUGCGAACCAUGCAGGGUUGGUGAAAGAUACAAAUGAGAUGGAAAAGAGGACAGUGGGGUUGAUCCAUGAGAUAUUGUCGCUGACAUUAUGGAAGAAAGCAUCAAUUAUGAAGCUUGGACAUUUCAGCAGGGAAUUUGGUCUGCCAUUGAAGUUGAAUGCGUUGCUGCUUAAGCACCCUGGCAUAUUCUAUGUCUCAAACAAGUAUCAGAUUUACACUGUUCUUCUUAGAGAAGGGUAUAGCGGAUCAGAACUAAUUGAGAAAGAUCCACUAGUGGUUGUAAAAGAGAAGUUUGGAGAACUGAUGCAGGAGGGACUUCAUGAAUAUAACAGGCGACAUCAUUUGAUGAAUUUAGAAAAGAAGAGAAUGAAGGGGAUGCUUUUGGGUAGAUCAGAAAAGAACAAGAGGAAAGAUUCUGAACCAGAUGAUCUUGAUGAUCAAGGAAACAAUCUAGGAGGUUUACUUGAGCCAGAGGAAAGAAAAAGAUUCUAUCAGUCUCUCUUUGAUGAUGGUUCUGCAUGACCUACACAGAUUCGCGAGAACUUCAUAUAGUUCUAAAUUUUCAUAGUCGUUUGUCGUAGCCUUGCAGCGCCUUGUUUCACCGUUUCUAACGUUUAUCAUGACUUAAGAACUUCAAUCAAAAUUCCAGGAUAGGAUUUUUAAAAACAAAGUUUGGCAGGGCGGAGCUUUUGGUUUAAUCUCUCUUCAAAGCAACGAGUUUUGCAUCAAUGGAGUUGAAUUGUAGAUGAGUUGUCUUCUCUGUCAUGAGCAAACUGAAGCUGCUAUAAAGUGCCGAGGAGAAAUUUCUGAUUUAAUGAAGAAAACUAUGGCAUGAGAUUGUGGAGAAUGAAUAUUUACCAAGGGGACACAACCAUCUCUAAACUAAUUUGGGUGAGCUGGUCGACAGUCCAGUUUUCAGGUCAGGACUACUGAUUCUUGCCUUACCAACCUGAUUUAAAUGUAUAAUAAUAUAGACGAAUAAAUCAAUUCCUGAAUUGAAAAGCUAUCCAAUUCAUCUACAUUUUUCAUAUUCAAGAACAAAUUGAAAUGUAUGUUUCAUUAAUUUGUAAUCUUUAUUUCUUCUUUAUCAAAGUCUAUUACUGAGUAAUUCUUUCGU